UACGUAGGUGGCAAGCGUUGUCCGGAUUUAUUGGGUUUAAAGGGUGCGUAGGCGGUUCUUUAAGUCAGUGCUGAAAUACUCCAGCUUAACUGGAGGGGUGGCAUUGAUACUGGGGAACUUGAGUGUAGUCGAGGUAGGCGGAAAUUGACGGUGUAGCGGUGAAAUGCUUAGAUAUCGUCAAGAACACCGAUAGUGAAGACAGCUUACUAGACUACAACUGACGCUGAGGCACGAAAGUGUGGGGAGUCAAACAGG
rnacentral:rRNA from 1 species